rnacentral:rRNA from 1 species
UACGAAGGGGGCUAGCGUUGCUCGGAAUCACUGGGCGUAAAGCGCACGUAGGCGGCUUUCUAAGUCAGGGGUGAAAUCCUGGAGCUCAACUCCAGAACUGCCUUUGAUACUGGAAAGCUUGAGUUCGAGAGAGGUGAGUGGAACUGCGAGUGUAGAGGUGAAAUUCGUAGAUAUUCGCAAGAACACCAGUGGCGAAAGGCGGCUCACUGGCUCGAUACUGACGCUGAGGCACGAAAGCGUGGGGAGCAAACAGG